CCUACGUGUGGCAGCAGUGGGGAAUAUUGCGCAAUGGGCGAAAGCCUGACGCAGCGACGCCGCGUGAGGGAUGAAGGUCUUCGGAUCGUAAACCUCUGUCAGCAGGGAAGAACGGUCACUGUGCUAAUCAGCAGUGAAUUGACUGUACCUGCAAAGGAAGCACCGGCUAACUCCGUGCCAGCAGCCGCGGUAAUACGGAGGGUGCGAGCGUUAAUCGGAAUUACUGGGCGUAAAGCGCUCGUAGGCGGUAUGUCAAGUCAAGUGUGAAAUCCCCGCGCUCAACGGGGGAACUGCCUUUGAAACUGGCAAACUGGAGUGUGUGAGAGGAUAGUGGAAUUCGGGGUGUAGGAGUGAAAUCCGUAGAUAUCUGGAGGAACGUCAGUGGCGAAGGAGACUAUCUGGCACAUAACUGACGCUGAGGAGCGAAAGCGUGGGUAGCAAACAGGAUUAGAUACCCGAGUAGUC
rnacentral:rRNA from 1 species